GCUUACGGCCAUACCAACCUGAAAACGCCCGAUCUCGUCUGAUCUCGGAAGCUAAGCAGGGUCGGGCCUGGUUAGUACUUGGAUGGGAGACCGCCUGGGAAUACCAGGUGCUGUAAGCU
ensembl:rRNA 5S_rRNA 5S ribosomal RNA